rnacentral:rRNA from 1 species
GAUGAACGCUGGCGGCGUGCCUAAUACAUGCAAGUCGAGCGAACGGACGAGAAGCUUGCUUUUCUGAUGUUAACGGCGGACGGGUGAGUAACACGUGGAUCACCUACCUAUAAGACUGGGAUAACUUCGGGAAACCGGAGCUAAUACCGGAUAAUAUUUUGAACCGCAUGGUUCAAAAGUGAAAGACGGUCUUGCUGUCACUUAUAGAUGGAUCCGCGCUGCAUUAGCUAGUUGGUAAGGUAACGGCUUACCAAGGCAACGAUGCAUAGCCGACCUGAGAGGGUGAUCGGCCACACUGGAACUGAGACACGGUCCAGACUCCUACGGGAGGCAGCAGUAGGGAAUCUUCCGCAAUGGGCGAAAGCCUGACGGAGCAACGCCGCGUGAGUGAUGAAGGUCUUCGGAUCGUAAAACUCUGUUAUUAGGGAAGAACAUAUGUGUAAGUAACUGUGCACAUCUUGACGGUACCUAAUCAGAAAGCCACGGCUAACUACGUG